rnacentral:rRNA from 1 species
AUUGAACGCUGGCGGCAGGCUUAACACAUGCAAGUCGAGCGGGGUGAUGGUGCUUGCACUAUCACUUAGCGGCGGACGGGUGAGUAAUGCUUAGGAAUCUGCCUAUUAGUGGGGGACAACAUCUCGAAAGGGAUGCUAAUACCGCAUACGUCCUACGGGAGAAAGCAGGGGAUCACUUGUGACCUUGCGCUAAUAGAUGAGCCUAAGUCGGAUUAGCUAGUUGGUGGGGUAAAGGCCUACCAAGGCGACGAUCUGUAGCGGGUCUGAGAGGACGAUCCGCCACACUGGGACUGAGACACGGCCCAGACUCCUACGGGAGGCAGCAGUGGGGAAUAUUGGACAAUGGGGGGAACCCUGAUUCAGCCAUGCCGCGUGUGUGAAGAAGGCCUUAUGGUUGUAAAGCACUUUAAGCGAGGAGGAGGCUCUCUUGGUUAAUACCCAAGAUGAGUGGACGUUACUCGCAGAAUAAGCACCGGCUAACUCUGUGCCAGCAGCCGCCGUAA